CUUGAGAGUUAUAUAGGAUAUGGCAUAUUGUUUAGCUCCUGUAGUAGGGAAGACAACAAUAUGGAUGGGAAGUGUGACAUUCAGGUCUUAUAAUCUUUUGCCUCCCUGUGCUCCCUUCUGGUGGCUGCAAAGUUUUGGAUGGGUGGCACUGUCUCUGGUUGUUGCUACACCAAAGCCUGGAGUCACCAAAAGGAUGCUGACUCCGUAGCUGAUGAUCAACAGGCAGCCCUGGAGGUCACACAGUGAUUUAAUGUGUAAACAUGAGCUUUCAUGGAAUCGGUGUCAGGGCUUGAACCUUUCCUAAGACAUUUUUAUUCCUUGUUUGUCAAUAGAGAAGCAGCAAAA
rnacentral:lncRNA from 1 species